GACAGAGGCCUCAAGCGUUAGGCGGAAUCACUGGGCUUAAGGCGUGUGUAGGCGGAUCGUUAAGUGCCUUGUGAAAUCCCACGGCUUAACUGUGGAACGGCUGGGCAUACUGGCGGUCUUGAGCCAUCUAGGGGCGACUGGAACAAACGGUGGAGCGGUGAAAUGCGUAGAUAUCGUUUGGAACGCCAAUGGUGAAAACAGGUCGCUGGGGAUGCGCUGACGCUGAGACACGAAAGCCAGGGGAUCAAACGGG
rnacentral:rRNA from 1 species